AGCGAACGCUGGCGGCAGGCCUAACACAUGCAAGUCGAGCGAGAAAGUUCCUUCGGGAAUGAUUAAAGCGGCGGACGGGUGCGUACAACAUGGAUAACCUACCUUAAGGUCCGGGAUAACCUCGGGAAACCGAAGCUAAUACCGGAUAAGACCACAUUAUCUGCGGAUAAAGGGGUAAAAGUUUUUCGCCUUUUGAUGGGUCCAUGCUCCAUCAGGUUGUUGGUGAGGUAAAAGCUCACCAAGCCGAAGACGGAUAGCCGGCCUUAGCGGGUGAUCGGCCACACGGGGACUGAGACACGGCCCCGACUCCUACGGGAGGCAGCAGUGGGGAAUAUUGGGCAAUGGGCGAAAGCCUGACCCAGCCAUGCCGCGUGAAGGAUGAAGGCCUUUGGGUCGUAAACUUCUGUCAGGAGGGACGAGGGGACUUCGGUCUUGACGGUACCUCCAGAGGAAGCCCCGGCUAACUCCGUGCCAGCAGCCGCGGUAAUACGGAGGGGGCAAGCGUUGCUCGGAUUUACUGGGCGUAAAGGGUCCGCAGGCGGUUAAGUAAGUUAGAUGUGAAAGCUCAAGGCUUAACCUUGAAACUGCAUCUAAAACUGCUCGACUAGAGUC
rnacentral:rRNA from 1 species